rnacentral:misc_RNA from 1 species
GCGAACUCGGCAGGGUCCAGUUGCGUUGCCAGGUCCUUCAAUGCGACCCGGACCAAGGCCUCGGCAGGCUGCCCGUCAUCGCCCCGCCAGGCAAUGCGGGUGUACUUGGUGUCGGAGCGCAGGUAGUCGAUGUCGUCGGUGGCGAUCAGGCGGAGCGCCUGACCCACCUGCGCGCGGAUCCAGCGAAGAUAAGCGGGCGACGCCGCCCGCUGCAGUUGCGCGGCAAGCUGCUGCAGCAAGGCAUCGGUGUUCGAGGCGGGCUGUUCAGCCAGGAGACGUUCCUUCAAUCGCGAAACGGUUUCGGCGAGUCGCGCCGGCUCCACGGGCUUGACGAGAUAGUCGAGCACGCCCUGCGCGAAGGCCUGCACGGCGUACUGGUCGUAGGCGGUGACGAAUACGAGGUGCGCGCGCCGGCCGAUGUGGCGCGCCGCUUCGAUGCCGGACACGCCCGGCAUCUGAACAUCGAGAAAACAGAUGUCGGGCUGUUUCGCCUCGAAUAGCUUGAUUGUCUCCCGGCCGUUUCGCGCAUGUGCGAUGACCUCGAGUUCCGGCCAGGCCUGCGCGAGCUGGCGCGCAAGUGCCUCGCGCAGCAGCGGCUCGUCGUCGGCGAUCAGGGCGGUCGGCUGUGCGCCCAUCAACCGGUGGCCUGCCGUGCCGGGAAGUCGAGUUCGGCCGUAACGCCCCGCGGGCGGUGAGCCUUCAGUUGCAGAUGGGCAUCGCUGCCGAAGAUGAGCUGGAGCCGUUCCCUCAGUGUUUCGAGCCCGGUGCCCAGGCUUGAGCCGGUGACGCGAAGGCCGACACCUGUGUCACUCACGUAAACGCGACAGCGAUCGCCAUCCUGUUGCACGUUGAUCUCGAUGCGUCCGCCUUCUUCGCUCGGGUCGAUCCCGUGGCGCACGGCAUUUUCAACGAGGGUCAGCAGCGUCAUGGGCGGGCAGCGUAGCGCAAGCGCCGCGGUAUCCGCAUGCAGCUCGAAUUGCAAUCGAUCGGGCAUCCGCAUGUGCAUCAGUUCGAGAUACGCCUGGACGAGUUGGAGCUCCUGGCCGAGCGUGGUGGCAGGCUCGUUGAGGCGAGGAACCGCGGCGCGCAGGUAGGCGACCAGGCUCCGGAGCACGGCGGAGGCCUGCGGGGAGCCUGCAUCGACGAGCGCCUGCACGUUGGCGAGCGUGUUGAAGAGAAAAUGCGGUGCCACCUGCGCCUGCAGCAGGUGCAGCCGCGCGUCGAGCGCCUGCCGCUCAUACUCGCUGCGCUCGAGGUCGAAGGCGAGCGCUUGUUCGCGGGCGAAGGCUUCUUUCUGACGGACCAGCGCACCGAGGGCGCACCAGGGUGCGAGCAAUACGGCCACGAAAGUGAGGCCCGCGAAUCCCUCCAUGCGAUCGGGAAUUUCCCAGAAGGGCGGUGCGCCGGAGGCCGUCGAAAGCACGUAAAUCGCGAAUGUCGCGAUCGGCAUGACGAGUCCCACGCCGACGACCUGGAGUACCCAGCGCGGCAGCCAGCGUGGCGGCGUCCGCGGCCAUUGCUCGAAUACGCCGAACACGAUCAUCGCGAUCAGCCCGAGCAUUACCGUCCGCACCAGGAUGGAAGCAAGGCCGGACUUCCAGCCGAGGCCCAUGAGCAACCCGAGCGCGAUGGCAAUGCCAAGCGUGAAUCUCAGGCGACGCCAGCCGAAGAUCAGCGCCAGGCCGCGUGGUUGAGCGGGGGCGGGAAGGACCAUGCGCGCGAGGAUAGCCCGGUCAGACUUCGCGCGCGUGCGCCAGGCCGAAUCCCUUGACGAGGAGCCAUCCUGCGGUUGCGAUCAUGGCAAGACCCAACGGCGCAAGCAGGGGAAAGGCGACGCCGUGGCCGAAAAGCGGCAUCGCGACGCCAGUCAUCUGGGACAAAGACGCGACGAUACCGAAGGCAGCCAGGAUGCGCGGCACGAGCGCAAAACGGCAGAGAGCGCCGAAAAAUACGAGCAGCAUGCUGCCGCUGAUCACGAGGUGCACGUAGUGCGCCCAGUUCCGCGCCGCGGCGACGACGCCCCGCAAUACCUGGUACAUCACCUCAUCGGGAGCCGUCGCCGAUGUGUAGGCGUUGCUGAGUGACAGCAACGAAAGCAACGCGAUCUGUUCCACGGCGGUCAUUGCGAAGUUCACGAUGGCAAUUCCAAAAAGCCAGAACGCGAACGGCUCGCUGAGCCUCUGGAGCACAGGGAAUGCGGUGAUGGCGACACCAAGCGCAAUGGCGCCUGUCGCAAUGCCGACCAGCGCAGAGAGGCUCAGGUUCAGGGAGUGUGCCGCGGCAUUCACGAGAAAGCCGGGCGCGGCGAAAGCAGGCGCGGUCAGCA